rnacentral:rRNA from 1 species
CACGUAGGGGGCAAGCGUUGUCCUGAUUUAUUGGGCGUAAAGAGCUCGUAGGCGGUUCGGUAAGUCGGGUGUGAAACCUCCAGGCUCAACCUGGAGAUGCCACCUGAUACUGCUGUGACUCGAGUCCGGUAGGGGAGCGUGGAAUUCCUGGUGUAGCGGUGAAAUGCGCAGAUAUCAGGAGGAACACCAGCGGCGAAGGCGGCGCUCUGGGCCGGAACUGACGCUGAGGAGCGAAAGCGUGGGUAGCAAACAGG